rnacentral:rRNA from 1 species
GUCGAGAAUCUUUCACAAUGGGGGCAACCCUGAUGGAGCGACGCCGCGUGGAGGAUAAGGUCUUCGGAUUGUAAACUCCUGUCAUGCGUGAACAAGGUUGCUUGGUUAAUACCUGGGCAAAUUGAUGGUAACGCAAGAGGAAGAGACGGCUGACUCUGUGCCAGCAGCCGCGGUAAUACAGAGGUCUCAAGCGUUGUUCGGAAUCACUGGGCGUAAAGGGUGCGUAGGUGGCGUGGUAAGUCAGAUGUGAAAGCCCGGGGCUCAACCUCGGAACUGCAUCAGAUACUGCCAUGCUAGAGUACUGGAGAGGUGACUAGAAUUCUCGGUGUAGCAGUGAAAUGCGUAGAUAUCGAGAGGAAUACCAAAGGCGUAGGCAGGUCACUGGACAGUUACUGACACUGAGGCACGAAGGCCAGGGGAGCGAACGGGAUUAGAAACCCGGGUAGUCC